UAUCCAGACUCCUACGGGAGGCAGCAGUGGGGAAUAUUGCACAAUGGGGGAACCCUGAUGCAGCGACGCCGCGUGGGUGAAGGAGCACCUCGGUGCGUAAAGCCCUAUCGGCAGGGAAGAAACAGACGGUACCUGACUAAGAAGCCCCGGCUAACUACGUGCCAGCAGCCGCGGUAAUACGUAGGGGGCAAGCGUUAUCCGGAUUUACUGGGUGUAAAGGGGGCGCAGACGGCAGCGCAAGCCAGGAGUGAAAGCCCGGGGCCCAACCCCGGGACUGCUCUUGGAACUGCGCGGCUGGAGUGCAGGAGGGGCAGGCGGAAUUCCUGGUGUAGCGGUGAAAUGCGUAGAUAUCAGGAGGAACACCGGUGGCGAAGGCGGCCUGCUGGACCGCGACUGACGUUGAGGCUCGAAAGCGUGGGGAGCGAACAGGAUUAGAUACCCUCGUAA
rnacentral:rRNA from 1 species